rnacentral:rRNA from 1 species
CCUACGGGAGGCAGCAGUGGGGAAUCUUGCGCAAUGGGCGAAAGCCUGACGCAGCCAUGCCGCGUGAAUGAUGAAGGUCUUAGGAUUGUAAAAUUCUUUCACCGGGGACGAUAAUGACGGUACCCGGAGAAGAAGCCCCGGCUAACUUCGUGCCAGCAGCCGCGGUAAUACGAAGGGGGCUAGCGUUGCUCGGAAUUACUGGGCGUAAAGGGAGCGUAGGCGGAUAGUUUAGUCAGAGGUGAAAGCCCAGGGCUCAACCUUGGAAUUGCCUUUGAUACUGGCUAUCUUGAGUAUAGGAGAGGUAUGCGGAACUCCGAGUGUAGAGGUGAAAUUCGUAGAUAUUCGGAAGAACACCAGUGGCGAAGGCGGCAUACUGGCCCAUUACUGACGCUGAGGCUCGAAAGCGUGGGGAGCAAACAGGAUUAGAUACCCUGGUAGUCCACGCUGUAAACGAUGAGUGCUAGUUGUCGGCAUGCAUGCAUGUCGGUGACGCAGCUACGCAUAAGACGACGUCCGCCGUCGGGUAGGUACGGUCGGCGAAGUAAGUUAAACGUUAAAGGUUAAAGUUAGUUACGGCGUGAGGACGUUGCCGACGGACGACGACGAGGGGAGGUUAGG